GAUGAACGCUGGCGGCGUGCCUAAUACAUGCAAGUCGAGCGAACAGACGAGGAGCUUGCUCCUCUGACGUUAGCGGCGGACGGGUGAGUAACACGUGGAUAACCUACCUAUAAUACUGGUAUAACUUCGGGAAACCGGAGCUAAUACCGGAUAAUAUAUUGAACCGCAUGGUUCAAUAGUGAAAGACGGUUUUGCUGUCACUUAUAGAUGGAUCCGCGCCGCAUUAGCUAGUUGGUAAGGUAACGGCUUACCAAGGCAACGAUGCGUAGCCGACCUGAGAGGGUGAUAGGCCACACUGGAACGGAGACACGGUCAAGACUCCUACGGGAGGCAGCAGUAGGGAAUCUUCCGCAAUGGGCGAAAGCCUGACGGAGCAACGCCGCGUGAGUGAUGAAGGUCUUCGGAUCGUAAAACUCUGUUAUUAGGGAAGAACAAAUGUGUAAGUAACUAUGCACGUCUUGACGGUACCUAAUCAGAAAGCCACGGCUAACUACGUG
rnacentral:rRNA from 1 species